rnacentral:rRNA from 1 species
GACGAACGCUGGCGGCGUGCUUAACACAUGCAAGUCGAACGGAAAGGCCCUGCUUUUGUGGGGUGCUCGAGUGGCGAACGGGUGAGUAACACGUGAGUAACCUGCCCUUGACUUUGGGAUAACUUCAGGAAACUGGGGCUACUACCGGAUAGGAGCUCCUGCUGCAUGGUGGGGGUUGGAAAGUUUCGGCGGUUGGGGAUGGACUCGCGGCUUAUCAGCUUGUUGGUGGGGUAGUGGCUUACCAAGGCUUUGACGGGUAGCCGGCCUGAGAGGGUGACCGGCGACAUGGGGACUGAGAGACGGCCCAGACUCCUAUGGGAGGCAGCAGUGGGGAAUAUUGCACAAUGGGCGGAAGCCUGAUGCAGCAACGCUGCGGGCGGGAUGACGGCCUUCGGGUUGUAAACCGCUUUCGCCUGUGACGAAGCGGGAGUGACGGUAAUGGGUAAAGAAGCACCGGCUAACUACGUG